GUUCUGUUACUCGAUAACCAUGUUUUUAUGCACAAAUUACGAGUGUAUCACGUUCUCUUAAGAGGAUGUCAGUGCAUUAUUUGUUUGCUCUCUCUGACUUACGCACAACAUAAUACAUUUUUGUUCAGCAGAGCUAAAUUUGUGUUGUUAGCUUAAGUAUUUUAAUGAAAUUACCUGUUAUUAAACUUAAAGGUAAGACCAUUAAGCUCUUUAUGUUUUAUCGAUAUUUCAGUUUUUAAGUGAGAUAUAAGUACUUUUAAACUUUGAUAUUUAAACCGAGUAUAUAUGUGCGAGCCGAUUCUACCGCUAAUCGCUCGCGAAGGGUUCGUGUUUGCGUUCGUUAAAAAAAAACCUACUCUCGAUGGAUUGGCGCGAAUGGCUCGAACCUUUGACACGCCGUCACAAUUAUUAUUGUUGCUAUCGGUUUGCGGUAGGUUCGGCUCGCAUAUGUGCGAGAAUCAAUGAGAGAAAACAAAUAGUGCGCUGACAUCCUCUUGAGUAAUGACCAUUAAAAUAUAUUAAAUUGUAAGUAUUUAUAAAUAAAC